rnacentral:rRNA from 1 species
GCUACGGGAGGCAGCAGUGAGGAAUAUUGGUCAAUGGACGAGAGUCUGAACCAGCCAAGUAGCGUGAAGGAUGACUGCCCUAUGGGUUGUAAACUUCUUUUAUAAAGGAAUAAAACGAGGCACGUGUGCCUUUUUGCAUGUACUUUAUUAAUAAGGAUCGGCUAACUCCGUGCCAGCAGCCGCGGUAAUACGGAGGAUCCGAGCGUUAUACGGAUUUAUUGGGUUUAAAGGGAGCGUAGAUGGGUUGUUAAGUCAGUUGUGAAAGUUUGCGGCUCAACCGUAAAAUUGCAAUUGAUACUGGCAGUCUUGAGUACAGUUGAGGUAGGCGGAAUUCGUGGUGUAGCGGUGAAAUGCUUAGAUAUCACGAAGAACCCCGAUUGCGAAGGCAGCUUACUAAACUGUGACUGACAUUGAUGCUCGAAAGUGUGGGUAUCAAACAGGAUUAGAUACCCUUGUAGUC